GGGACAACAGCCAGAAAUGGCUGCUAAUACCGCAUAAGCCUGCGGUGCCGCAUGGCACAGCAGGGAAAACCACGGUGGUACAGGAUGGGCCCGCGUCUGAUUAGUUAGUUGGCAGGGUAACGGCCUACCAAGACGAUGAUCAGUAGCCGGCUUGAGAGAGUGGACGGCCACAUUGGGACUGAGACACGGCCCAGACUCCUGCGGGAGGCAGCAGUGGGGAAUAUUGCACAAUGGGGGAAACCCUGAUGCAGCAAUGCCGCGUGGGUGAAGAAGCACUCCGGUGCGUAAAGCCCUGUCAGCAGGGAAGAAAAUGACAGUACCUGACCAAGAAGCCCCGGCUAACUACGUGCCAGCAGCCGCGGUAAUACGUAGGGGGCAAGCGUUAUCCGGAUUUACUGGGUGUAAAGGGAGCGCAGGCGGUAUGGCAAGUCAGAUGUGAAAACCCAGGGCUCAACCCUGGGACUGCAUUUGAAACUGCCAUACUGGAGUGCCGGAGAGGUAAGUGGAAUUCCUAGUGUAGCGGUGAAAUGCGUAGAUAUUAGGAGGAACACCAGUGGCGAAGGCGGCUUACUGGACGGUAACUGACGCUGAGGCUCGAAAGCGUGGGGAGCAAACAGGAUUAGAUACCCUGGUAGUCCACGCUGUAAACGAU
rnacentral:rRNA from 1 species